rnacentral:rRNA from 1 species
GGACGAACGCUGGCGGCGUGCUUAACACAUGCAAGUCGAACGAUGAUGCUCUGGUUUUCUGGGGUGGAUUAGUGGCGAACGGGUGAGUAACACGUGAGUAACCUGCCCUCUUCUUUGGGAUAACGGUCGGAAACGGCUGCUAAUACUGGAUAUUCACUCAUUGGCGCAUGUUGGUGGGUGGAAAGGUUUUUUCUGGUGGGGGAUGGGCUCGCGGCCUAUCAGCUUGUUGGUGGGGUGAUGGCCUACCAAGGCUUUGACGGGUAACCGGCCUGAGAGGGUGACCGGUCACAUUGGGACUGAGAUACGGCCCAGACUCCUACGGGAGGCAGCAGUGGGGAAUUUUGCACAAUGGGCGCAAGCCUGAUGCAGCGACGCCGCGUGAGGGAUGAAGGCCUUCGGGUUGUAAACCUUUUUCGCUCAUGGUCAAGCCGCAGCUUGGGUUGUGGUGAGGGUAGUGGGUAAAGAAGCGCCGGCUAACUACGU